AGUGGGGAAUCUUGGACAAUGGGCGAAAGCCUGAUCCAGCGACGCCGCGUGGGUGAUGAAGGCCUUCGGGUUGUAAAGCCCUUUCGACGGGGACGAUGAUGACGGUACCCGGCGAAGAAGCACCGGCUAACUCCGUGCCAGCAGCCGCGGUAAGACGGAGGGUGCUAGCGUUGUUCGGAAUCACUGGGCGUAAAGGGCGCGUAGGCGGCCAGGCAAGUCGGCUUGUGAAAGCCCGGGGCUCAACCCCGGAGGUGCGGCCGGGACUGCUUGGCUGGAGGCCGGAAGAGGAGGGUGGAAUACCCAGUGUAGAGGUGAAAUUCGUAGAUAUUGGGUGGAACACCGGUGGCGAAAGCGGCUCUCUGGUCCGGUCCUGACGCUGAGGCGCGAAAGCGUGGGGAGCAAA
rnacentral:rRNA from 1 species